rnacentral:rRNA from 1 species
AACGAACGCUGGCGGCAUGCCUAACACAUGCAAGUCGAACGAGACCUUCGGGUCUAGUGGCGCACGGGUGCGUAACGCGUGGGAACCUGCCCUUAGGUUCGGAAUAACUCCCCGAAAGGGGUGCUAAUACCGGAUAAUGUCUUCGGACCAAAGAUUUAUCGCCUUUGGAUGGGCCGCGUUGGAUUAGCUAGUUGGUAGGGUAAAAGCCUACCAAGGCGACGAUCCAUAGCUGGUCUGAGAGGAUGAUCAGCCACACUGGGACUGAGACACGGCCCAGACUCCUACGGGAGGCAGCAGUAGGGAAUAUUGGACAAUGGGCGAAAGCCUGAUCCAGCAAUGCCGCGUGAGUGAUGAAGGCCUUAGGGUUGUAAAGCUCUUUUACCCGGGAUGAUAAUGACAGUACCGGGAGAAUAAGCUCCGGCUAACUCCGUG